ACACUGAAAUGGUAAAAAAUACACUAUUAAUAUGAAUAAUAUCAAAUAAAUAUUUGUCCCCCAAAUUUAUAUCAUUGGGGUUACCCUACCCAAAGCACUUUUAUUUUGAAACAAUGCAUCAGCUCUUUGAAGUUUUUCAUGGGUCAAGAGCAGUGGAAGAAGUGCAGUGGAAGAAGGCAAAAGGUUUCUGUGAUGAAUGUACAACUUUUGCAGACCGUCUCUCUUUCAGAUGUCUAAAUCUGUGACAAAUUGUUAUUGCUGACUGUGAGACACAUUGGAUGUUGUACAGUAUGCUGAACAUUCUCAAAAUGCUCUUAUAUGCUUUUGACACCUUAUUGCCAUACGAACAAGUAAAAUUGAAAGGGAACAUUCAAAGGGAAGAGGAGAACAUGAAGAGGUCACCCGAUGAACAAGGAGACAUGGAUAAUAAUGGCAAUGGAUUACACCUUUUACACAGCAUUUAAUGUCUGACCCCUGAUUUGUUCUGCCCUUCCCAAAUAAUAUAUCAUCACACCUUGUACCCAC